CUAUUAAUGAAGGUGUAUGCUGCUGUGCCAAAUUGCUGGGCUCUGACUAAAAAAAUAUGUUUAGUGGAGAUUAGCUCUCCGCUAGUGCAGCUAUCUGCUUGUAGCUGCCUUGUGUUUGGGCUGCCUGCACUACCCAUUCUGAAGCCUCACCUAAUUGUGCUGUGUGAUAAGCCCUUCGCAUGCAUGAUUUGAGCAAAAUGACAAAAUGCAUCCAGGGUGGAGAAGAAAAAGAAGCCUCCAGAGAGAGAUGAGACAACUGCCUUUUCCUGCUGUUUCAUCAUCAUGUGCUGACAAAAAUGAUCUCAUAACAGAUCUGGAAGGAGGGAGCCAGAAGGACAGUUUUCACCAGGUCGUGUCUAGAUGAAAAACUCUGGGUUAUGCUACAUCUGCACACUGCAGAGACAUGAAAAUAAAAGUAUCCAAAAAUUCCUGCAUGUAAGAGGAACUCUUGCAGGAGUUGCCAUGUUGCUC